CCUUAUGAUGAUACAAGGCCAGGAGGCCUAUAAUCCCAGCUCGUCGAAUGCCUCACUUUAAACGCAGAGAGCAUUAUGAGAUACGAAACACGUUCUGAUCU
rnacentral:snoRNA from 1 species